GCAUUGGUGGUAUAGUGGUGAGCAUAGCUGCCUUCCAUGCAGUUGACCCCGGGUUCAAUUCCCAGCCAGUGCA